rnacentral:rRNA from 1 species
AAAGGAAUUGACGGGGGCCCGCACAAGCGGUGGAGCAUGUGGUUUAAUUCGAUGAUACGCGAGGAACCUUACCAGGGCUUAAAUGUAGAUUGACAGAGGUGGAAACACUUCCUUCUUCGGACAAUUUACAAGGUGCUGCAUGGUUGUCGUCAGCUCGUGCCGUGAGGUGUCAGGUUAAGUCCUAUAACGAGCGCAACCCCUGUCGUUAGUUGCCAGCGAGUCAUGUCGGGAACUCUAACGAGACUGCCAGUGCAAACUGUGAGGAAGGUGGGGACGACGUCAAAUCAUCACGGCCCUUACGUCCUGGGCUACACACGUGCUACAAUGGUAGGGACAAAGAGCAGCCACUGGGUGACCAGGAGCGAAUCUUCAAACCCUAUCUCAGUUCGGAUCGAAGUCUGCAACUCGACUUCGUGAAGCUGGAAUCGCUAGUAAUCGCAGAUCAGCCAUGCUGCGGUGAAUACGUUCCCGGGCCUUGUACACACCGCCCGU